rnacentral:rRNA from 1 species
GUGGGGAAUCUUGCGCAAUGGGCGAAAGCCUGACGCAGCCAUGCCGCGUGGAUGAUGAAGGUCUUAGGAUUGUAAAAUCCUUUCACCGGUGAAGAUAAUGACUGUAGCCGGAGAAGAAGCCCCGGCUAACUUCGUGCCAGCAGCCGCGGUAAUACGAAGGGGGCUAGCGUUGCUCGGAAUUACUGGGCGUAAAGGGAGCGUAGGCGGACAGUUUAGUCAGAGGUGAAAGCCCAGGGCUCAACCUUGGAAUUGCCUUUGAUACUGGCUGUCUUGAGUACGGGAGAGGUGAGUGGAACUCCGAGUGUAGAGGUGAAAUUCGUAGAUAUUCGGAAGAACACCAGUGGCGAAGGCGACUCACUGGCCCGUUACUGACGCUGAGGCGCGAAAGCGUGGGGAGCAAACAGGAUUAGAAACCCGGGUAGUCC